rnacentral:rRNA from 1 species
UAUACAUGACUCUGCGCAUAUCAAUAAGCGGAGGAAAAGAAACUAACAAGGAUUCCCUUAGUAACGGCGAGUGAAGCGGGAAGAGCUCAAAUUUGAAAUCUUCAAGGUUUUACCUUGACGAAUUGUAGUUUAAAGAAGUGUUUUCUGCUGAAGUUUUGGUAAAGAGUUCUUUGGAAUAGGACAUCAUAGAGGGUGAGAAUCCCGUAUUUGACCAUUAUUUUCAGCUUUGUGAUACACUUUCAAAGAGUCGGAUUGUUUGGGAAUGCAGUCCAAAAUGGGUGGUAAAUUUCAUCUAAAGCUAAAUAUUGGCGAGAGACCGAUAGCGAACAAGUACCGUGAGGGAAGAUGAAAAGAACUUUGAAAAGAGAGUUAAACAGUACGUGAAAUUGUCAAAAGGGAAGCGUUUGACACCAGUGUUGUUUUCUCGAAAAUCAAUUAAAAAUGGCUCGAUUUUGUAUUGUUGAGACCUUAAAAGCUCACUGUACAUUUUUCGUGUCUUUUUUAAUGCACUUUUCGUUUAACAAGUCAACAUCAGUUUCUUUUGUUGUAAAAGGGUCAUUGGAAGGUGGCUUUCUUUUCGGAGAAAGUGUUUAUAGCCUUUGGCCUCUGCAAUCGGAGAGACUGAGGUCUGCAGCGUAGACUCUUCGGGGUUAGAUACAUUUGUGCUAAGUUAUAGCUUUUUAUAGACAACUUGUUGACUAUAAUUAGUCUCGUAGUUUACUCGCUUAUGCUAUUUUACCUACGCUUAGGAUGUUGAAGAUGUAGCACAUCAU